GACGAACGCUGGCGGCGUGCCUAAUACAUGCAAGUCGAGCGAAGUUUUUCUGGUGCUUGCCCUAGAAAAACUUAGCGGCGAACGGGUGAGUAACACGUAAAGAACCUGCCUCAUAGACUGGGACAACUAUUGGAAACGAUAGCUAAUACCGGAUAACAGUAUUUCUCGCAUGAGAGAUAUUUAAAAGUUGGUUAUGCUAACACUAUGAGAUGGCUUUGCGGUGCAUUAGCUAGUUGGUGGGGUAAAGGCCCACCAAGGCGACGAUGCAUAGCCGACCUGAGAGGGUGAUCGGCCACACUGGGACUGAGACACGGCCCAGACUCCUACGGGAGGCAGCAGUAGGGAAUCUUCCGCAAUGGGCGAAAGCCUGACGGAGCAACGCCGCGUGAGUGAAGAAGGAUUUCGGUUCGUAAAGCUCUGUUGUUAGGGAAGAAUGGAUAUGUAGUAACUAUACAUGUAAGAGACGGUACCUAAACAGAAAGCAACGGCUAACUACGUG
rnacentral:rRNA from 1 species